AUGCUUUCCUCACUGUGCCUCUGGGACAGUCCCUGCUGGUGCCUUUUGGGCUGUCCCCUGUGCUGCUGUGCCUCUUCAGCUCCCCUCAGCCUUGCUCCACCAAGGCUCCUCACACAGCAGUGUUCUCCUCACACAGCAGUGUUCUGUCUCAGUGCAGUGUUCCUCUCACACAGCAGUGUUCUGUCCCAGUGCAGUGUUCUGUCUCAGUGCAGUGUUCUGUCUCAGUGCAGUGUUCUGUCUCAGUGCAGUGUUCCCCUCACACAGCACUGUUCUGUCUCAGUGCAGUGUUCCUCUCAUACACCAGUGUUCUCAGUGCAGCACCCUAUCCUUGUACGUUUCCCUCAUACACCAGUGUUCUCAGUGCAGCACCCUCCUGACACUGGGUUGUGCUUAUUUCUGCUUCCAGCUGUUGUCCAGCAGCUCCUGACUCUGGGUUGUGCUUAUCUCUGCUUCCAGCUGUUGUCCAGCAGCACAGAAACCUUUGAAACAACAUCUUUGGUUAGGGAAACGGCUUAAUGGAUCUUAAAUGCUCCCUCCCAAUUUACUACUUUGUUUGGUUUAUUGUGGCGUUAUUUUGUUUGGGGUUUUUGUUUGGGUUUUUCUAACCAGCCUUGGAACUGCGGCCGUCCUUGCUGAUCUCGGGGCUACGAGAUGUUGGGGCAUUGGGGUGGAGAGUUUCCUCUGCACAGUGGCUGUGAUGACACGAGCGUGCCGCUGGCGUCUGGCUGCGCCGCACAGCUCUGACAGCCUGUGCUUUGUGCUGGCCCUGGGAGCUGGCCAGGGCUUGCGGAGCAGGGAUUGUUUUCCCCGCUCCUGGGGCCCUUUGCGGUCUGUGCGCCGUGGCCUGCUCGUGGCUGCGUGUGAUCCCCCUCACACCCGGCAGGGAAGGCGCCUCUCGGGGCCAGGGGCAGCUCUGCGGGGACAAGGUGGGCAGAGCAGCGUGGUGUCAGCACAGGCAGUGUGAAUCCCAGCAGCUCCAGCCUGCUUAGCUACUCCUGCUGAUGGUGCCCACACCAAAACCCCCUCCCUAAAUCAACCCGGUCAGUAAAUCAUCCCGUUUAUCUUGAUUACCACGAAAAUGCAGGGAACAGUCUAUUGGAUAGAAGGAAUCCUACUCAAAAUAGCAUGUGCAAAAACACCCUGUUAGUUUCUGUGUGACCUGACUCCUGCAUGUUUGUAAAAAUAAAUGUUUCCUUUAAUAUGUAAUCAAGGAAAUAAUUUGUGCUUGCUUUCUUUUUUUUUUUUUUUUUUUUUUUUUUUUUGCCAAAAAAGGGGGGGGGGGGGGGGGGGGGGGGGGGGGGGGGGGGGGGGGGGGGGGGGGGGGGGGGGGGGGGGGGGGGGGGGGGGGGGGGGGGGGGGGGGGGGGGGGGGGGGGGGG
rnacentral:lncRNA from 1 species